rnacentral:rRNA from 3 species
UUUGACCUCAGAUCAGGUAGG